GACGAACGCUGGCGGCAUGCUUAACACAUGCAAGUCGAACGGGAAGUGCUGUUUUCUGUGGCGUACUGGUGAGUAACGCGUAAGAACCUCCCCUUGGGAGGGGAACCACAACUGGAAACGGUUGCUAAUACACCGUGGGCUGUGGCGCAAAAGAAGGAAUCCUGCCGAGGGGGGGCUGGCGUAUGACUGCGUUGUUGGGGAGGUAGGCGCUUACUAAGGCGAUGAUCAGCAGCGUGGCCGAGAGGAUGAUCAGCCACGCUGGGACGGAGAGACGGCGAAGACUCCGGCGGGCGGCAGCGGUGGGGAAUGUACCGCAAGCGGCGAAAGGAUGACGGAGCAAUGCCGCGGGGAGGAAGGAGGCCCACGGGUCGUGAACUUCUGUUCUCGGAGAAGAGAGAAUGACGGUAACUGGGGAAUAAGCACCGGCUAACUCCGUG
rnacentral:rRNA from 1 species